rnacentral:rRNA from 1 species
UAUUGGACAAUGGGCGCAAGCCUGGUCCAGCCAUGCCGCGUGGAUGAUGAAGGCCCCCCCCGCCGUAAAGUCCUUUUAACGGGGAAGAUAACGACGGUACCCGUAGAAUAAGCCCCGGCUAACUUCGUGCCAGCAGCCGCGGUAAUACGAAGGGGGCUAGCGUUGCUCGGAAUUACUGGGCGUAAAGCGCACGUAGGCGGGUCGUUAAGUCGGGGGUGAAAUCCUGGAGCUCGACUCCAGAACUGCCCUCGAAACUGAUGAUCUUGAGUUCGGGAGAGGUGAGUGGAACUGCGAGUGUAGAGGUGAAAUUCGUAGAUAUUCGCAAGAACACCAGGGCGAAGGCGGCUCACGGCCCGAUACUGACGCUGAGGUGCGAAA